AUAAUGAGACAAGUUGGUAGGAUAUAACUGGGGUCAACCGCUGCUGAUAUUUAAACAGCUUAAUCUUAAAUCCAGAAGGUCAAUAUAUUCAGCUAUUUCGUGGGACUUUUGCAAAUGAUUUAUCCUGGUGACAGGAGGCCUCGGUUUUCAGAUCACAUCCUUUCCCUGUCCCUAAUCCAGUUGCUUGGGCCCUCUCCUGAUGCUGGCUUGAGGUUCCUGCCUAUACAUAACAGCUCCUGAGAAUCUGCUGACAAAGAAUUAGCCCUGGCCCGGCUUCCCCAUCCUGAGGACGCCUUGGCUUCCAGCAUUACAGCUCAUUAGGUGGAGAGAGGUUUGCAUGCGAGGCAAGUGGAAAGGGGGUCCCAUCCCUCCCACUUCCUUCUUUCUCCCAGCUAGCAAAUUCCAAGCCGAGACUGUCCAUGCUCCAGAGAGGAUUUCUGCUGCCACAGAGGAGGGGAAGGUGGGGAGAAGGUGGGCUCCUGCUCUGUGCCUCCCCAUCUGGAUCUCAUCAUUAUUUUCAAGGAGGCUUAUCUGCUCCAGCAUCCUGUCCCAAUUAAAAACCAACUCAGUUUAUGUUUCCA